AUUGAACGCUGGCGGCAGGCUUAACACAUGCAAGUCGAGCGAGAGGCGGACGGGUGAGUAAUGUCUGGGAAACUGCCCGCUGGAGGGGGAUAACUACUGGAAACGGUAGCUAAUACCGCAUACCAUCAGAUGUGCCCAGAUGGGAUUAGCUAGUAGGUGGGGUAACGGCUCACCUAGGCGACGAUCCCUCGCUGUUCUGUGAGGAUGACCAGCCACACGGGAACGUAGACACGGUCCAGACUCCGACGGGAGGCAGCAGUGGGGAAUAUUGCACAAUGGGCGCAAGCCUGAUGCAGCCAUGCCGCGUGUGUGAAGAAGGCCUUCGGGUUGUAAAGCACUUUCAGCGGGGAGGCGUUACCCGCAGAAGAAGCACCGGCUAACUCCGUGCCAGCAGCCGCGGUAAUAC
rnacentral:rRNA from 1 species